rnacentral:lncRNA from 1 species
AUCUGCAUCUCUGUGCCUCCUUUUCUGCUAGGGACCAUUGCUAGAGAGCUACUGUGAGCCUCUGGUGAUGUCACAAUAUUCAGACAGAAUUCUCACACUGGUUCCUUCUCAUCUGGAGAUGGCUGUAGUGGGCAGGCUGUUUUGGCUCUGCUUCUACAGACCUAUGCAGCAGGUUUUGUAUUGGGUUCAACCUACAGGCCAAUAGAUGACAUUUGCAGGUGAAGAGCUGGAUAGUGGGGUUCCUGGUGUUCCGUGGAAGAGGCCGGACACAAUUGGGCAGAGCUGGAGCCUCUGGCUUGCCCAUGUGUAUCCCAAUGGCAAGCACAGGCACCAGCCCUGAAAAGGGUGGCUGGGAGAUGCUCUUAGGGACAUGCCCCAGAGAUCUCUGUGUGGGGCAGAGUGAGGAGGCUUCACUGGCUCCCGCAUGGUAGACAGACAUGAACAGAAUCUAUUUCCCUAUCACACCCAUUGCAGGUACUUCAGAUGCACACUGUAGUCUAUCUCCAGACCACAGUGUGGUUGAUUGAAAGCCUCAGGAAACCUUGUUUUCCAGAAGAAAAUAAACUUGAUGUUUUCUUUGGGCCUAUCAUUAUCAUCACUAUGAUUAUCAUGUACAGUUUGCUUGAAUUUACCACAAAAUUCAAUGCUUGCUUAAUAUUAAAAAAUGAGACGGUUGUUCUCCAAGAUUGUGUACAUUAUUAUUUAACCAUCUUCUUCUAAAUAAAGGACGAUGAAAAACUUAAGAUUUACUCUAGUUUUCCUCUGCCAGUUCAAUGACAUACUGCUUGAGAAAUGGAAAAACUGGAGUUUCAACUCCCUAUUUAGUAUGGCAGCUAUUCUGUUCCUGGCACGGCCAUUUGUGUUGUGUUGUGAGCCCAUUAAAAGUGAUUCUAUGUUUUUUCCAUAGAUGUCGUCUUUGGUAGUUGGCAUUCUUCCCAGAGGAAGAUAAUGGGAAUCAGACAUGCUUCUGAUUGUCCCACCAGCCAGCUGCCGGUUUCAGCCCAAGCCAUUCUGAAUUGGAGGAUGAUGGUCUAGCUUUACUUCUCAAAUAGGCUACUCCUUCCCACAUGGUCAGGUCGCAGACGAAAAAUCAGUCUCCUGGGAAAGCUCUCAGCCUGAUUGAGAAAGGAGACCUAUAAAGAAACAAUUACAAUACAGCACUCAAAAUGUCACAGGGGAAAAAGUUUCUAUAGAAAAUGGAAGACAAUGUCUAAAUUCAGCGGCCUAAAGUGAGCAAUUCCGUGAAUAUUUACCUCCUAGUUAAUCUGUCAUGACCCAUUAUGUUAAUAGUUGGGAGACUGGCUUCAAUUCUGGAAAAGACGCAGGUGUGAAGAAUCUGAACGUAUUUCCAAACUAGGGACUAGAAGAGGGCUUCAGUGCCAGUGGGGGCUUGGUGCCAGGGAUAGGAAGUGAACAGAGACAAGGUUAAAAGGCAAGAUGUCUGAAAGGGAGUAGUUGUUUAGGGGUGAAGAGGCAGAGAGAACACGGGUAGUUUCUAGUGCUUUAGGGUCCUGAGUAUAAUUUGCAUCACCAUUUUUAAGAAGGAGAGAUGGGUAAAGCUGGAAUCCCAAAGUCACGGUUGCCUCAUGACAUUAGAUCUUGAAGGAAAAAUUAACUGUGUUUCUCAGUAGGUGGUAGUAAAGAUGUGGCUGCUGCUUUAAUUCCAGCCUAGGUCAGUACACACUCAGGACCUGGAAUGUGACUGAACAUGCAUGUCAAGGUGUCAAUUACUCCUCCUUAAGGAGCUAAACUUGCAGGUGCAGAGGGAGGGAGACUAAAUCUCACAAAUGUUUAAUGAUAAUAAAAAAGAUAUGCACAGAAAUUUUUAUUUUCAUUGUACGAGGAUUUUAAUGCUUUAUCUUAAAAAUGUGUAGAAUAACUGUUCUUUAAAAGUUGCCAAUAUGAAUAUUAUUUUGUAUGAACCU